CUUAAAUCGGAAGGGAGCUGCUUCUCUGUGGUCUUCCACAAGAGCUGCCUGGGCUCUGCUGGCUCAGUAAUAACUGAGUGACCUUUUCUUUCGCUGUAUUAUGUCUGGCUGGUAAGGGAUUGCAUUUUGCAGCUGAUAAAGCCCUGACUUCAUUCAACUCGGCUCCUCACACGCUGCUUUAGGAGAAGAGCUACAAAGCAGCCACUGUGCUUAUUGAACUGCCUCCCCUGUAUCGCUUAAUUGAGAAGCCAGCACGAUACGGUAUGCUAACGCCGCAUGUGACAGUUUAAUCAAACCCAUUUGUUACAACAAAGCUAAGAGACCGCUGGGAUUAUAGGCU
rnacentral:lncRNA from 1 species